GCCUGGCUGGCUCAAUCGGUGGAGCGUGUGACUCUUAAUCUUGCGGUUGUGGGUUCAAGCCCCAUGCUGGGUG
rnacentral:tRNA from 1 species